AAUGAGUAAAGCAAUGCUCUCGUAUCAAGUCUAGUAUCUGGCCGGGCAACUCGCGUUAACAAGCUACGUCUCUGUCCUUUCAUAAUGAGCAGGAUGGCACGCACAAGUCAAUUCAAACAAGCAAACACAAGCAAUGAACUCACGAACGAUGCAAGCAAGUUAGUCAGAGUCAAGUUGAAGUUCAAGAUCAAGUCCAGCUUUCAGCAUUAGGAGAGUUAUCGUCUUUAACGGCAGGGUAGAUAAACAACUCUUAUAGAGCGGGUGUCUCUGUUAAGGGAGUUCU
rnacentral:lncRNA from 1 species